rnacentral:rRNA from 1 species
UACAGAGGGGGCAAGCGUUAUUCGGAAUUAUUGGGCGUAAAGGGCGCGUAGGCGGCUUUGCAAGUGGCGGGUGAAAUCCCUCGGCUUAACCGAGGAACUGCCUGUCAAACUGCAUGGCUUGAGACCGGGAGAGGUGAGUGGAAUUCCCAGUGUAGCGGUGAAAUGCGUAGAUAUUGGGAGGAACACCAGUGGCGAAGGCGGCUCUCUGGACCGAGACUGACGCUGAGGCGCGAAAGCGUGGGGAGCAAACAGG